GGUCUGGUGGUGUAGUUGGUUAUCACGUCAGUCUAACAGUCCAAGAGCUCCAUCUCUCGUGUCUGGCACACUGAAGGUCUCCGGUUCAAGUCCGGGCUAGAUCA
rfam:Colletotrichum orchidophilum strain IMI 309357 Scaffold_223.1, whole genome shotgun sequence.